UGCGGAGGGAUCAUUACACAAAUUAAAAUAUGAAGGCUUCGGCUGGAUUGUUUUUAUCACCCUUGUCUUUUGCGCACUUGUUGUUUCCUGGGCGGGUUCGCCCGCCACCAGGACCACACCAUAAACCUUUUUUAUGCAGUUGCAAUCAGCGUCAGUAUAACAAAUGUAAAUCAUUUACAACUUUCAACAACGGAUCUCUUGGUUCUGGCAUCGAUGAAGAACGCAGCGAAAUGCGAUACGUAGUGUGAAUUGCAGAAUUCAGUGAAUCAUCGAAUCUUUGAACGCACAUUGCGCCCUUUGGUAUUCCAAAGGGCAUGCCUGUUCGAGCGUCAUUUGUACCCUCAAGCUUUGCUUGGUGUUGGGCGUCUUUUGUCUUUGGCCUCGCCCAAAGACUCGCCUUAAAACGAUUGGCAGCCGGCCUACUGGUUUCGCAGCGCAGCACAUUUUUGCGCUUGCAAUCAGCAAAAAGGACGGCAAUCCAUCAAGACUACAUUUUUACGUUUGACCUCGGAUCAGGUAGGGAUACCCGCUGAACUUAAGCAUAU
rnacentral:rRNA from 1 species